GGACCCGCACAAGUGGUGGAGCAUGUGGUUUAAUUCGAAGAUACGCGAAGAACCUUACCUAGCCUUGACAUUGAUAGAACACCGUAGAGAUACAGUGGUGCCCUUCGGGGAACUUGAAAACAGGUGCUGCACGGCUGUCGUCAGCUCGUGUCGUGAGAUGUUGGGUUAAGUCCCGCAACGAGCGCAACCCUCGUCUUUAGUUGCCAGCAGGUUAAGCUGGGCACUCUAAAGAGACUGCCUACGCAAGUAGGAGGAAGGUGAGGACGACGUCAAGUCAUCAUGGCCCUUAUGGCUAGGGCUACACACGUGCUACAAUGGGGCGUACAGAGAGUUGCGAUACCGCGAGGUGGAGCCAAUCUCAUAAAGCGUCUCUCAGUUCGGAUUGUUCUCUGCAACUCGAGAGCAUGAAGCUGGAAUCACUAGUAAUCGUAGAUCAGCAAUGCUACGGUGAAUACGUUCCCGGGUCUU
rnacentral:rRNA from 1 species